UACGGGGGGGGGCAAGCGUUGUUCGGAAUUACUGGGCGUAAAGGGCUCGUAGGCGGCCAACUAAGUCAGACGUGAAAUCCCCAGGCUCAACCUGGGAACUGCAUCCGAUACUGGAUGGCUUGAAUCCGGGAGAGGGAUGCGGAAUUCCAGGUGUAGCGGUGAAAUGCGUAGAUAUCUGGAGGAACACCGGUGGCGAAGGCGGCAUCCUGGACCGGCAUUGACGCUGAGGAGCGAAAGCCAGGGGAGCAAACGGG
rnacentral:rRNA from 1 species